rnacentral:lncRNA from 1 species
CUUCAAAUUAGAUUUAUGUGUAAUUAGAUGGAUGUGUUUUUACACAGAGAGACAUGCAUGAAAGUAUGCGCAACAAAAUAUGACCAACACUCCAAAAGAUGGGUGGUGGGCUUUGAGGUUCUUUUAUUGUCUUCCUUCUAUUUUUAAAUAUUUCUUUGCUUUUUUACAGUUAGCAUGUAUUAUUACCAUAUUCUAUUAAGAUAACAAAACUAGUUCAUAUGACAAACAACUUUUUUUCAUGAGAAAAGAUUAGAUCUUCAAUCCCUCUCUUCGUGAGAGAGGCUCUGAUUGGCCCAUCUCGGGCCAGGUGACUACCCUUGAGCCAAUCAGCUUGGGAAGCAGGGUCACAUGACACCAACAUGGCUACCAAGGGCCUUCCCUAUUAGAGGAUGAGGGAAUGGGAUGCUCUCAGAGGAGAAGGGAUAUCAAGUAUUCCGUGUGAGGGAUAUCAUUAGAAAAGAACUAUGUCCAUGGCCUGCUUGAAUUCUGGAAAACUGACGCACAAAUCUCAAUAAAUGCAAGUACAGCCUUUGGAGGGCCUGUGGGCUGUGUGAGGACUGGGCCGUGAAUGGUGCAGAGGUGUGCGGAGCUGUCCAGCUGUCCCCGUCUGUGGACCAGGGACCUGUGGCAUGGGCUGUCACCUCCACUGCCAUCUGUCUCCCCCAUCCAGAUCCUAUCAAACACAAGUACCAACAGCGGCGCUGACCUGGCUGCUGCCCCCGCCAGCCUCCGCCCGAGCUUCUCUCAGCCCGUCGGAGCUAUAAAUGUCCUACUGUCACCUGCUGUCUGCCGCCCUCCUGUUCCGGGCCCCAGGAUCAGAGAUCUGAGCUUGUGCAACCAUCUCGGGACAACUGUGUCUCGCAGGAGUCCUCUGGGCCACUGCGCCAUGUCCCAAGCAGAAGGGCUCACACGACUGGGGAGCCAGGCAAGGAAGGCAGGGUGCCAGUGUAGAGGAUGGCUUCAGGUGCGGCUGGAUCCAGGGGUUCAGGUGAGCCUCCCAGGUAUCCAUUCUCUCGCUAUCUCUCGGCUCUGCUGCUCUCUGAGGCCACCGUUCUCAUGCAAGUGCUCCCAAUAUGGGCAUACAGACAGCUUCACACUGUCAGCUCCAGCAGAAAGCAAGCAUCUCUUUCAGAUAGUGCCAGGCAAAGUCCUAUCAUUGGUCUGGUUUGAGUAAUGGGUCCAAAGCUGAACCCUGAAUUCCAGUGUCCCAAAGAGCACACACUAGGCGGUAGGUGGGGUGAGAAGAGAAGAAUUUG